rnacentral:ncRNA from 1 species
GGGAGGUUUGGCACCUCGAUGUCGGCUCAUCGCAUCCUGGGGCUGAAGUAGGUCCCAAGGGUUGGGCUGUUCGCCCAUUAAAGCGGUACGCGAGCUGGGUUCAGAACGUCGUGAGACAGUUCGGUCCCUAUCUGUCGCGGGCGCAGGAAGUUUGAGGAGAGCUGUCCUUAGUACGAGAGGACCGGGAUGGACGCACCGCUGGUGCACCAGUUGUCACGCCAGUGGCACAGCUGGGUAGCUAUGUGCGGAAGGGAUAAGCGCUGAAAGCAUCUAAGCGUGAAGCCCCCUCCAAGAUGAGACUUCCCACAGCGUUAAGCUGGUAAGACCCCUCAUAGACGAUGAGGUUGAUAGGUUCGGUGUGGAAGCGCGGCAACGCGUGGAGCUGACGAAUACUAAUCGGUCGAGGACUUAUCCAC